CCUUUGCUAUUUCUUAUACACUGCUCAAAAGAAAAUUCAGGAGAGUGACGUCAUCAGAAGUGGUGGAGUGGGCAGUUCCAAGGCUUUGUCCCUCCACAAAAUCAACUAAUGAGCUGGCAAUAACCCGAAGAGUCAACUGUUACAGGAUUCUGAAAUCAGCCAAAAACUUACACAAACCAGGGAAAGACCAGCUGAAGAAAGAAGCUGCUGCUUCAUGCUUCGUGGGGAUAACAAAAUCUGUCCAGUCACUGCCACCCGGAUUGCUGCUUGUCCUCAUGUUACUCUCCGUCUCUCGAUUUGACUAGAAGAAGGUAUAACCUGGCUCCAGGACACCUCUUGGUCACAUCUUCACUGCUUACCGUGAGAUCUAGGCUAUGCGCAGACACUACCUUCUGAUACAAAACUUCAGGAGGAAGCAGAACCACAAAAGAGCCUUUCUGGGCUUAGGCAUCCUGAUAUCCAUCAUCCUGUCACUCUACCAAUGUAUUGUCGGUGGGAGGAAUGAUACACUUAGACUCCCAGGCUUCUGAGAUUUAACGGAUCAGCCUUUAAGGCUCCCAGGAUUUAAGCAGGAUCUCAAAGUUUCUUUAGGAUAUUUUUAUUUCCAAGUGCAAUGUCAAUCUCUGAGACCUAUUGAAGUUGGAAUCUUCUUUGACAUUAUACUCAUUAAACUAAAGAUGGAUAUUUGUUCUAAGGCUGUUUGUGUUUCCCUAAUUCUACAAUAGAAAAGAAGAAAGAAUAAAAGCCGUGAGUAAAUUUGAUUCAGAGGUUUUCAAAUCAACUAGAAGAUGGAAUUCUUCAGCACGAUUUCUUAUCUCUUUAGCAAACCAACUUAGAGAGGAAAAUCGUAGAAGACCUGAAAUGUCAAUUCAAUUGGGACAUGUGAUAAAGAACUGUAAUGUGG
rnacentral:lncRNA from 1 species